CCCUUAGAUGUUCUGGGCCGCACGCGCGCUACACUGACGAAUGCAACGAGCUUAUAACCUUGGCCGAAAGGUCUGGGUAAUCUCCAAAUUUCGUCGUGAUGGGGAUAGAUUAUUGCAAUUAUUAAUCUUCAACGAGGAAUGCCUAGUAAGCGCAAGUCAUCAGCUUGCGUUGAUUACGUCCCUGCCCUUUGUACACACCGCCCGUCGCACCUACCGAUUGAAUGGUCCGGUGAAAUCUCCGGACUGGCGUGAGUCGGAGCAAUCUGACAAACGCCGGAAAGUUGAUUAAACCUUACCAUUUAGAGGAAGGUGAANUCGUAACA
rnacentral:rRNA from 1 species